UAAAAAUCUCUACAACAAGACUUGUGACAACAAAGUUACUGUAAUUCCAUGAUGAAUACAAUCUUAACUUUGACAUACACAUACUAGUACACAGUACAACAUUUUAUACCUAAAGUUGAGUAGAAAAUUAAAAUGUAAGAACUACAAGAAGUAGUACAUUUUGAUGAUAAACAAAAACACAAUAUGUACAACUGAAAAUACAAAAGAAUUUAUUCCUCCAAAGAGAUAUAUCAUCUAUCAUCAUCACCAUCCAAUUUAGAACACCAAUAGUUCCUCCUUAAUGUCAUAUCCCAUUUUCUCCAAGUUUGGAUUAAUAGCAAAUUGUAUCAUUGGAGGUGGUCCACAUGCUAAUGCCAAUGUUGUAUGAGAUGGUUCAGGUAUAUGUUCUCUAAGAAUCGAUUCUGUAACGAAUCCUGUACUAUACUUCCAUCCUUGUGUAAUGGAUUCUUGAACGACAUACCAUACUUUAACCCUAUUUGGAACUUGCUCUGCCCAUGCAUCAAGUUCGUCUUUGAGCAAAAUAUCAUCCUCCGUUCUGUUUGCAUACACCACAUACAUCUCUGUAUCGUCUUCAGGAUCUUUCAAUAUUGAUUGCAUUACUUGAUAUACUGGAGUUAUACCUGUUCCACCCGCUAUCAUAGCUAACUUCUUGGCAAACUUUUGUUUACCAUGGACUAAGAAAUUACCCUUACCUUGGUAUUCAAUGUGACCUAAUGGACCUUUAACGUCAAGGAAUGCACCUAUUGGGAGAGAAUCAAGAUGUUGUGACAUUUGACCUCCAUUAGGGAAUUUAGGGUGAACACCUUUGAAGUAGAUCUUGACAACCAACUCGAAGAACCCUACUUCAUCGACUGUGCUAGUAGGCGUGUAGGCACGCAUACAGAGUUUGUCAUCAACUGUGGCACAGAGGAAUAUGUGUUUGCCAACAGGUAACCCUAAGACUUGAUCCUCAGAGGGUAAUGCAAAUUUGAAUUUCCUAACAUCAUGGGAGAUGGAUUGCUUGUCGACGAGUUUGCAAGGGAUUUUUUCCCUUGGGAUGAGAGCUACACUCCUUGUUGGUGUUUGAACAAGCUCCUUAAUAGGUGCUAAGAAGCUACUGAUCGAAGAGGAUCCAUGGACAGAACUGUUUGGAGACGAAUCAGACGUGUAACCAGUAGUUAUGAGUUCACCAAUCCUAAAGUCCUCCAAUAGCUUCUUAGCCUUAUCAGAAUGAAUUGCAUCAAAUUCCUCAGUACAAUCAGUUCCAGCAUUGAUCAGAAUGCUGUCAACACCACCGGGAUGGUCUUUCAAGAAACGUGAGGCAUCGUAGAUAUGUCCAUGGACUAUGAUCCAAGCAGAGUCUGAAGAGUUGUGUUUCCUCACCUCGGACAUGGAAUACAUCUUCGAAGCUGUGUUCAUGAAAGGAGUUGAUAUACUCUUCUUUAGUGUUGGAGGAGCCACUGCUGAUAUCUCCAAGUGUCUCUCCUUUGCCAUCCAUCCACCCGAUUGAUUUCCAGGUUGAGUCGGAUGCUCAAACACUAUACCAAUCUCUCCCUUGUGAGGUUUGCACACAUUCAUCUUCACUCGAAACCAACAAUUGUUCAUCAUUCCCAUGACGUUCCAAAUAAGCUUCUCGGGUUGAGUGUUGAGGGUCUCAUCGGUAGCUCGUACAGCAAUUUCUUUAGCACUAAGCAAGUCAAGCACCUCAACCUCGAGUGACCAAAAGCACCAACACCAGUACUUGCCAUACUUUGUUGGCUUCUCUGGGUGAUCAAGUGUACACACACUCCAUGUCUCUCCUCCAUCCAAAGUCACUUCCACUCGAGUUACCUUUUUACCUCCACCAGAAUAAGCAUAGCCUCUCAACGUGUAAGGUCUCUGAGUAGUCCACGCAUUGAUGGGCAAAAUUUCUUCAUGGCACGGAGUUGUAAUGACAGAGUUUAUGUUGAGCUCAUUGAUGAUGUACUCUGGUUUGUACCACCAAGCUUCCGCGUUGGCAAGUUCCGCGUCAACGUGUGGAGGGAGAACUCUAUUGUCCUUGUAAUGAUAAUAGCUUUCCGAUUCUUGUGUAGUGACCACAAUCCUCUUUAACCAUUUCACCAUUCUUCCACCGAUGAAUCCGGGGAUAAUCAUCCUUACCGGAAAACCAUGAUCCGGUGACAACAUUUCUCCGUUUUGCAUGUAAGCUACAAUAAUAUCACGAGAUGGAUCCAUGGCGAAUUCCUUCUUUAUACUCGUUCCGUACUUUGAACCACCACCUCCAGGCAAAACAUCGGAACCUUCGAAACAGACAUUAAGCGCGCCUUUUUUCUUACUCUGAACACCGCACCGUUUCAACAGGGCGCGGAGAGGUACUCCGCGCCAUACGGUGGUUGAAACGGCAGCAGCACCCCAAUUGAAACCAAUUGUCUGCUUCACCAUAUUCUGCUCUUUACGACGAUUGCCUGCGCACACAAGUGUGACAGGCAAUUCACGUGACGGGAAUUCGUUAACUAAUUGAUCCAUUGUGAAUUUCAUUGGUCGUUUUACCAGCCCUGUAACUUCCACAGUCCAGUCAGACCAGGAUGCUUUGGGGACUGGGCCGUGGUUACGGACGUAAUGAAGUGGUACGGGAGUGAUGAACCCGUGAUGCAUAAGGCGAGAUAAAGGUGGUUCGGAGUUGAAUGGGUGUUUACCGGUGAGACGUAUUAAGGAAAAGUUUCGUUCGAUCCAAUUAUCAGCGGUACCUUCAUCUCUAGUAUCAUGAAUUGAUGGUUCUAAUUCAGUUUUACCUUUUUUGAUCAUUUGAACGUAUUCAUUUUUUUCGUCAUCGUCAUCCUCGUCUUCACUAGACGAAUAAUCAAGGUAAAUUGGGGGAUUUUGUUUUUUUUGGAAAGGGAGUUCAUGGUUGGAUGAAGGAGGGAAGUUGCAACCACGAACCGGGGAAUCAGGCCUAGGCUUGAAAGUACGGCCUACGCCUGAUAAACCCGGUUCAAGGUGAGUAUACUGUCUGUUUUCCACAGAUGCCGCCAUUGAUUUUUUUAAAAUAAAAUUAUGAAUGACGGAAUUUGGAAGAAGAAAAAAGAGAUUUCUAAU
rnacentral:misc_RNA from 1 species